rnacentral:rRNA from 1 species
UACGUAGGUGGCAAGCGUUGUCCGGAUUUACUGGGCGUAAAGGGCACGCAGGCGGUGGUUUAAGUUUGGUGUUUAAGCCCAGGGCUCAACCCUGGUACGCACUGAAAACUGGAUCACUUGAGUGCAGAAGAGGAGAGUGGAAUUCCACGUGUAGCGGUGAAAUGCGUAGAUAUGUGGAGGAACACCAGUGGCGAAGGCGACUCUCUGGUCUGUAACUGACGCUGAGGUGCGAAAGCGUGGGUAGCAAACAGG